GGGGAAUUUUGGACAAUGGGCGCAAGCCUGAUCCAGCCAUGCCGCGUGAGUGAAGAAGGCCUUCGGGUUGUAAAGCUCUUUCGGCCGGGAAGAAAUCGUGUUCUCUAACAUAGGACAUGGAUGACGGUACCGGACUAAGAAGCACCGGCUAACUACGUGCCAGCAGCCGCGGUAAUACGUAGGGUGCGAGCGUUAAUCGGAAUUACUGGGCGUAAAGCGUGCGCAGGCGGUUUUGUAAGACAGAUGUGAAAUCCCCGGGCUUAACCUGGGAACUGCGUUUGUGACUGCAAGGCUAGAGUACGGCAGAGGGGGGUGGAAUUCCUGGUGUAGCAGUGAAAUGCGUAGAGAUCAGGAGGAACACCGAUGGCGAAGGCAGCCCCCUGGGCCUGUACUGACGCUCAUGCACGAAAGCGUGGGGAGCAAACAGGAUUAGAUACCCUGGUAGUCCACGCCCUAAACGAUGUCGACUAGUCGUUCGGAGCAGCAAUGCACUGAGUGACGCAGCUAACGC
rnacentral:rRNA from 1 species